rnacentral:rRNA from 1 species
CANUUGGCAUCCUCUGACCCCUCNUAGAGNAUAGAANUNUUCCCCUUCGGGGGAACAGAGUGACAGGUNGUGCAUGGUUGUCGUCAGCUCGUGUCGUGAGAUGUUGGGUUAAGUCCCGCAACGAGCGCAACCCUUAAGCUUAGUUGCCAUCAUUAAGUUGGGCACUCUAAGUUGACUGCCGGUGACAAACCGGAGGAAGGUGGGGAUGACGUCAAAUCAUCAUGCCCCUUAUGAUUUGGGCUACACACGUGCUACAAUGGACAAUACAAAGGGNAGCGAAACCGCGAGGUCAAGCAAAUCCCAUAAAGUUGUUCUCAGUUCGGAUUGUAGUCUGCAACUCGACUAUAUGAAGCUGGAAUCGCUAGUAAUCGUAGAUCAGCAUGCUACGGUGAAUACGUUCCCGGGUCUUGUACACACCGCCCGUCACACCACGAGAGUUUGUAACACCCGAAGCCGGUGGAGUAACCAUUUGGAGCUAGCCGUCGAAGGUGGGACAAAUGAUUGGGGUGAAGUCGUACANGGGNNANCCCGUAAA